CCCGGUGAGCAUAGUUUAUACAAAACGCUAGAUUGUGACUCUAGUAAAAAGAAAUUAACUUCUUCGCCCACC
rnacentral:tRNA from 1 species